UUUUUUAGCAUCUCUAUUUAUAUAUAUAUUUCAGCUGAAGCAAUACUCUCUCUCUCUCUCUCUCUCAUCACCAGACUCCAACCUUCAUCGCUUCAAAUUUCAGGAACCAAAGCUUCCCUUCACUAAUCUCAUUUCAAUUGCAAUUACAGUUUCAAAAUUCAAUUCAUCGACAUAAAACCUUACCUACGUGAUCAAGUGACCAUGGAACAGUAUUCCCAAGAAAUUAUGGACGUAAACAACAUUGUCAAGGAAAAGAAAACAUCUUCGAAUGUCGUUGAGUAUGAAAAUGGCGGUUUUGAUUGUAAUAUAUGUCUAGACUCGGUCCAAGAGCCGAUGGUGACACUUUGUGGCCAUCUCUAUUGCUACCCUUGUAUAUACAAAUGGAUUCAUCAGCAAAACACUUCAUUAGAUAUUCCAAACAAGAAUAAUCCGCAAUGUCCUGUUUGUAAACGUGAUAUCUCACAAAAGACCUUAAUCCCAUUAUAUGGUCGAGGCCAAACUGCAAAAUCUCAAAUAGAAAAAAAGUGUCUAGAUCAUCUAGGUAUGAUCCAACGUAGGCCCCAUAGCCCUAGUUGUGGGACCAGGGUCGUACCAACUCAACAAACACAAGGAUUUAUAACGGUAUCAGAUGUGAUCAACCCAACAAGUCCAACAAUGGGAAUGUUAGGGGAAAUGCUAUACGGGAGUCUUUUGGGGAAUAUACAAGCGUCUUUAUAUGCGUAUCCUAACUCGUAUAACUUAGUGCCGGUUAGUACUCGACGUGCACGAAGACAUACGAUGCAAGCUGAUAGGUCUCUUGGUCGCAUUUGCUUUUUCUUAUUUUGUUGCAUGAUGAUGUGUCUAAUAUUAUUUUGACACCUAUAAAGCCCCUCCUACUUCAUUCCGUAUGUAUAUUUUGUAAAAUAAAUAAUUAAAUAAUGGAUUACUGAAUAUUAGUUUUU